rnacentral:rRNA from 1 species
UACGUAGGGGGCUAGCGUUGUCCGGAAUCAUUGGGCGUAAAGAGCGUGUAGGCGGUCCAGUAAGUCCGCUGUGAAAGUCGGGGGCUCAACCCUCGAAUGCCGGUGGAUACUGUCGGGCUAGAGUGCGGAAGAGGCGAGUGGAAUUCCUGGUGUAGCGGCGAAAUGCGCAGAUAUCAGGAGGAACACCUAUUGCGAAGGCAGCUCGCUGGGACGUAACUGACGCUGAGACGCGAAAGCGUGGGGAGCAAACAGG